UGUGUGUGUGUUAGUGUGUGUGAUAUUUCGUUAGAAAAGCAACGACUACACCAGGAUGAAAAAACACCAUAGCAGAUUGUAAGUGAAGUUAAAUUAUUAAAUAAACACUCACAUGCACAAGUGCAUGUGUAUGAAUGUUUGUGUGUGUGUGUGUGUGUGUGUGUGUGU